GGGCAGGGGCCGGGGCCGGAGCCGGGUCGGGGCGCCCCGCGGCUGAGGAGCGGGAGGCCGUCCGGGCAGCGCGGCCGGCGGCGAGAGGGGCCCCGCCGCUCUCCGGAGGCAGAAGUUGUGGAUCGGCCGGCGGGGGCGAGCGGGCCCGGGGGCCGGGGCCGCGCUGCCCGGGCCGCGAGGACGAGGCGGCGCCGCCGGGCUGUGGAG
ensembl:lncRNA CAPN15 calpain 15